rnacentral:piRNA from 1 species
UGACCUGAUGCCCUCUCUUCUCUGGAUCC